AAGUCGUAACAAGGUCUCCGUUGGUGAACCAGCGGAGGGAUCAUUACUGAAGGUCUACGUACCUAAAACCAUUGUGAACCUUUUCCUUUGCUGCCUCGGCGGGCAAUCCCAGGGCGGGAUUCCUGGCCUCUUUUAGGGGCGUCCGCCGGCGGUGCACCUCUCUAGCUCUUGUCUGCGACAGGCUUCUGAGUGGUCUUGAAAAAACAAGUCAAAACUUUCAACAACGGAUCUCUUGGCUCUCA
rnacentral:misc_RNA from 1 species